rnacentral:lncRNA from 1 species
CUUCAGACUCUAUCAGUUCUUUCUACUGCAGUGGUUAUACUUUUUCAUCAUGAGUCCCUUGGAACUACAUUGAACCCCUUCAUUGCUGAUAUAGGAUAUACACGAAGAUAAAACAGUCCCUACCAUCAAGGAGCUCAAAUUCUAAUGGGGAAGAUAACAUAUCUUUGAAAUGAAGCUUGCAAAGAAGUCUUUCCAGUUUACCAUCCUUCCAACAUUAUCAUACCCUGUGAGUAGACAGACUCACAGAUCCCACCAACUUUAAAGGGAAGAAAAUGUGCAUCUUUAAUUUAAUGGGAUUGGUUUCCUUUGUAACCCUAUGUUUCUUAUUUAUGCAUUUGAAUUUCUAGAUUUAUAAUCCUAUGUAUUCUAUGUAUCUAUGUAGGCAUUUAAAAAACUUAAUUUAUUAAAUUAUUAAUUAAAAUUUUUAAUUUUAA